rnacentral:lncRNA from 1 species
CCACAGAGGAGCAUGGAGCUUCGUUUUCAAAUCCUAGCUUUGCCUGAUAGGAGCUACAUCUCUCAGAUGGAUUCAUUAUAAUCAUGGGACUGUAGGCUUUGAUUCUGAGAAGAUGUUCUAACCCUGGCCUACUUGCUGGUAUCUCAAUUUCAUUUUUCAUGGUGAAAUCACAUUGGUUCUGGUAUUGUCAAGACCAUCUCUCUCUGCAUAUGGCUGCAGAAUAAGCUCUUCCUGGGCUAUGCAAACUAAUUGCAAGUGACCACCAAAGAAACAAAUCUUCACAUGUGAGGUUUUUUGAAAUCUGUAAGUCAUGAAAGAUUGGAGAAGUAUACAGUGCUAAAUAGAGGACAGCCAUGAGAGUACAGAAAUCAGUGAAGCACUAGAUUUGGUAG